rnacentral:sRNA from 1 species
UGAUGCCAGGGUCAAAAGGUCUUUCACCCACAUGAGCUUGCUCAUAUGUGGGCGAAAGACCUUGGAACCCGCCCCAAUAUGAGCAUAAAAGUAGGAUGAUAAUCCCACGAUAUGCGAAUAUUGGGUAGAAUUGUGAGAGUGCGUAGCACGUAACAAUUCGGAGGCAUCA